rnacentral:rRNA from 1 species
UACGAAGGGGGCUAGCGUUGUUCGGAAUUACUGGGCGUAAAGCGCGCGCAGGCGGUUCUUUAAGUCAGGGGUGAAAGCCCAGAGCUCAACUCUGGAAUUGCCUUUGAAACUAGAGAACUUGGGUACGGGAGAGGUGAGUGGAAUUCCGAGUGUAGAGGUGAAAUUCGUAGAUAUUCGGAAGAACACCAGUGGCGAAGGCGGCUCACUGGCCCGUUACCGACGCUCAAGCGCGACAGCGUGGGGAGCAAACAGG